rnacentral:tRNA from 1 species
UCCCAGUAGCACAGUGGUUAGUGCAGAGCCCCGGAGAGGUUGAGACGUGGGUUCGAAUCCCGCCAUGAGAU